GACAGAGGCCUCAAGCGUUAGGCGGAAUCACUGGGCUUAAAGCGUGUGUAAGCGGAUCGUUAAGUGCCUUGUGAAAUCCCACGGCUUAACUGUGGAACGGCUGGGCAUACUGGCGGUCUUGAGCCAUCUAGGGGCGACUGGAACAAACGGUGGAGCGGUGAAAUGCGUAGAUAUCGUUUGGAACGCCAAUGGUGAAAACAGGUCGCUGGGGAUGAGCUGACGCUAAGACACGAAAGCCAGGGGAGCAAACGGG
rnacentral:rRNA from 1 species